rnacentral:rRNA from 1 species
UACGGAGGGAGCUAGCGUUGUUCGGAAUUACUGGGCGUAAAGCGCACGUAGGCGGCUUUGUAAGUUAGAGGUGAAAGCCUGGAGCUCAACUCCAGAAUUGCCUUUAAGACUGCAUCGCUUGAAUCCAGGAGAGGUGAGUGGAAUUCCGAGUGUAGAGGUGAAAUUCGUAGAUAUUCGGAAGAACACCAGUGGCGAAGGCGGCUCACUGGACUGGUAUUGAUGCUGAGGUGCGAAAGCGUGGGGAGCAAACAGG